rnacentral:rRNA from 1 species
UACGAAGGGGGCUAGCGUUGUUCGGAAUUACUGGGCGUAAAGGGCGCGUAGGCUGUGCUGUAAGUCAGGCGUGAAAGCCCCGGGCUCAACCUGGGAAUUGCGCUUGAUACUGCGGCGCUGGAAGGUGGGAGAGGAUGGCGGAAUUCCCAGUGUAGAGGUGAAAUUCGUAGAUAUUGGGAAGAACACCGGUGGCGAAGGCGGCUCACUGGCUCAUAUCUGACGCUCAGGCGCGACAGCGUGGGGAUCAAACAGG